rnacentral:misc_RNA from 1 species
AACACUUGAUAGACACAAUGUCUUAGCUCAAAUUAUCUCUAGUUCAGCAAUAUUUACAUUUUCAACCAGUCUUUUAUUUUUUCAGCUAAGCAAUUAGUCUUUUAUUUUUAGUUCAAGCAAUCCAUUACAAUUUUCAAUGCACAUAUUUUAAUUCCUAUAAGCGAUCUUUACAAUUUUCAAUGCAUAUAUUUCAAUUCCUGUAAGUGAUCUUUACAAUUUUUAAUGCAAU